UUAUGCUUAUAAUUAACCCUCUGCCGCAAAUCCAAGAGCAAAUUAUGCUUGUGACAGCGAUAAGCUGGGCGCAAUUUGCAGGGUCUCCAGUUGGGAUAGGUCACAUCGAAGGGACUGGUCACGAUUUGCUCAAAUCAUGCCAUUUGCAUGAGACACACCCCAGUCUGCGUAUUAAAUAAUUAAGCAUACUAUGCAUGACUGUAGACUUGAGCUUCUUUCGAAAGUAGGAGCAAUCCUUUCUCAUUCUUCUGCCUCGAUUCAAACAAUUGACGAAAUCUAUUUGAAUGGAUUCAAGAGAUCAAGCCAUACAGGGUAUCCAAGGUAUCAGGGUUGCGAAACCACCAACCAAAUGAGGCACCAAAUGGCCAUUUUGGCUGGCCUUUCUUUGGCUAAUAAAUUUCUUGCGAAUGUUUCCUUUGUUUUCGCUGAAUAAGAUAUCUUUGGGCCGCCAUCAGCAGAUAUUUCACAUUUAUGGGAGUCGCUCCCCUGGCGAUUUCGGUGGCAGGACUUUAAUUAAAAUCAGCCACCGGUGACAUAAGACAGUCUGGCUGGUGGAACUCUAGUUUUCAGUCCUGCCACCGGGUUCAUCAUGGGCCUCCAUGUGGCUUUCGCCGGGGUGCUCCACUCAUUAGUGACUCUGCCACACGUGCGUAUUGAGUUCGGGAAACAAGUGUGAUAAGCUGUUUAGCAUGCGAAUGCGAUAAACGUGGAAGUCAGAGCCGUGUAUUCCACAUUCUGCCAGAUUAUGCAAAUUUGCUCUGGCUAAGUAUAUUUUCCUUAGCCGUAUGCAAAUUAGUCCUUACAGGACAGGAAAAGACGUUGAUAAAUUUAUUUAUUUCGCCCUAGCAGGCUUCAUUUUGUCUCAUCGAAGACAUGAAAUCAAAUUGAUUUUUUCUUUAGAGCAAGAAAUCUAUAUCCUAUGUCACAAAGAUGUAGGAUCAUCUGUUCAUUAGUAAGCUGGCAAAUCCUUAUUCACCCAACUGGUUCUCUUUGCUUGGAUAAUAUUUGUGCGACACCCCUGCCCAGUUUUACUUGGGAUUCCGAGCCUUUCCAAUUAGCCAAACUCCAGGUCGAAUACAAAGGCGCAUGUCUCGAUUGGACACAUUUUCCCAACCCAGCUGCGUUUGGUUCAACUUGCUCAAUCGCUUAUACAACUCAACAAUCGCUCGAAAUCCCCCGCAUGUAAACAAACCAAUUUCCAGAUGCCUAAUUUGCAUUUUAUAGCCUGGCCUUCUAGCUAAGGCACUUUCUACAUAUCAAUUAGAAAUGUGAUUUUACAUACGAUAUGCCAUCUUUUACACAAAGGGUCCCAAAAAAGUACAAACUCUCUAGUUUCCCGGUUUCCCAAAUAAAACUCCUCAUGUAACUCAGCAUGCCAGGAUGCUUGUAAAAUUAA